GGGUUAUCUAGAAGGCAAGAUUGGACGUGUGUGGGAUUGCGUUGGAUUGUGCUAUGGGUUUGUGAACAGGGAGACAUCAUCAAUGAAUUGGAAUACUAUGUAAUUCUGCAACAUAUCACAUUGUGGGAGCUGUUGCCAUAAGGUCAAUCAUCAUCUAAACCUUGCUUGGUGAACUAAAGACGAAGUGUUGUGACUCAAAAUCAGGAAACAAAAUCCCAUGGGGCCCCUAAAAUUAAUUCCUUGGCCGCUGACACAGUACAGGAACCAGAUCCAUUUCCAUUGUGACACAGUUUUCUUGUUCCUAAGCCCACAAAUGGGUACUAUAAAUUCCUUGACAGCAAAAUCAUCAACAGGCAAUGGAGAAUGAAUGUUGGUUAAAGGCUGUUGAAACUGAACUUCUUGCCUUAGACGAAGCUCAAAAUAGGAUUUAGUAUCAUUGAUGCUUGUGAAUCCACAAACACCAAUUUGAGGGGGGUGUAAAUAGCAUUAAUGGACAAAAGCUAAUAUAUGGGAUUGUACAUGUAUUGGUAUUUGUACCUAUUAUUUUCAUCCCUUAAUAGAAUAAUAUGUUUAAAUGUAUAUACGGCAGUUUAGAAGAUUUACUGGGCUGAAAAUCAGAUUGACAACUUAUAAUUAGAUUGUAUUUGUAUGAGAUUUCAACAACAGAAGAAGGCAAAGUUUUGCCUCAUGCUCUGAGUUUAACACCAGUAUGUGCAUGCACAGUUCUGCCAGCAUACGUAUGAGAGAGUAUAAAGAGGGGGGCCUUUUAUAUGCUGAGAAUGAGAUGAGUAUAUAUUGAUAAUUAAAUCUUAUCAAAUAUAGUAAAGAACAAGACACAAAAAUCACGUAACUUCUUCAAAGUCAUGCUAUUAAAAGUAAUUUCUAAUACUAAUUGUCCAUAUAUACAGAAAUGAUAACAAUUGCGUGCCCGAGAGGAGAUGUUACUGUUGAUCAUUCAGUCAAAGUGGAUGGUCAAAAUUGGUUUUAACUUUCAUGUAAAACAAUCGUAUCCACAAGAGGAGCUUUGUUCUCUUCUACCAGUCCCUGACCUCCAUCCCUUCUAUACAGGUCCAUAGCUCUUUUCCAAUCCAUAUUUUCCCCUUACUUUAUCCCCUACAUUACCUUUAGUGAACCUAAAAUAACCAAGUUCCCUAACCACACAAGACAUUAGUAUCCAUCAUAAACAACAUUUCAAGUCCAUAUUCUUGUUGCUAAUCAAGAGUUCCACUUUUUUUAUCACGUGCUUUAUACACAGUAUAUUAUCCAUUUCACCUGCCAUCAUGAAUCCUAACAUCUACAACCCUGUACAUUACAAGUAUAACUGUGGCUGGAUAGACUUCUCAGUAAAUACCAAAAGAAAAAGGAAAUAAAGUCGUAAAAUGAACUAAUCUUCUCCCUUAAAAUCACCUUAUGUAUUUCAAUUUUUGUUCAAACCCACUAAUCAGCUUAUCAAAGACUACAUUUUUACAUAUUUACCGAUUAACUUAAUAGCAUUG
rnacentral:sRNA from 1 species